AUGCUCGCUUCGGCAGCACAUAUACUAAAAUUGGAACGCUACAAAGAAGAUUAGCAUGUCCCCUGCACAAGGAUGACACACAGAAAUCAUUGUACAUUUUCAUUUCAUU